UUCUUGUUCGAGGUUUUAUCGAGAGAGAGCGAAGGCCAACUCGAUCGACCCUAGUUCGUGCGUACGUGUAGCCCUUGGAGCGUAUAUCAUCUGGUAUCAGAGCCGAAAGGUUCUACACCCUAGGUUGUAUCCCUCCUUUACUUUUGUUUUAGUUUUUGUUUCGUUCAUCUUAAGUCAAAAAAAAAAAAAAAAAUCUAGUAUUUCUUUGUUGCACUUGUGUUCGUUAUAGGUUGCUAGUUUGUUUUGCAUAACUUUAAAAAAAAAAAAUCUUGUAGUUGCUUAAGUUUGCUUGAUCGCUAAUUUUCAAAAAAAAAAAAAAGAAUUCAUCGUUUUAGUUUUGUUCUUAUUCAAUCGAGUUUGUUUGAUUAUUCGUUCGUUGAUACUUGUUUUUGUCAUAUCUCCUUUGCAUUCGCAGAUGGCAAACAACACCAAGGCUCCUUUGGACCCUAUUGCAGCUACGUUGGCGGCUAUCCAAGCCACUCUCCAAACGUUUGGAGACCGCAUGAACCGUCUCGAACAACCCCGGGUCAUCAACCCCAUCCGGAACCAAC
rnacentral:lncRNA from 1 species